AGAGUUUGAUCCUGGCUCAGGACGAACGCUGGCGGCGUGCUUGACACAUGCAAGUCGAACGGUAAGGCCCUUCGGGGUACACGAGUGGCGAACGGGUGAGUAACACGUGGGUAAUCCGCCCUGCACAUCGGGAUAAGCCUGGGAAACUGGGUCUAAUACCGAAUAGGACCACAGGACACAUGUCCUGUGGUGGAAAGCUUUUGCGGUGUGGGAUGGGCCCGCGGCCUAUCAGCUUGUUGGUGGGGUGAUGGCCUACCAAGGCGACGACGGGUAGCCGGCCUGAGAGGGUGUCCGGCCACACUGGGACUGAGAUACGGCCCAGACUCCUACGGGAGGCAGCAGUGGGGAAUAUUGCACAAUGGGCGAAAGCCUGAUGCAGCGACGCCGCGUGGGGGAUGACGGCCUUCGGGUUGUAAACCUCUUUCACCAUCGACGAAGGUCCGGGUUUUCUCGGGCUGACGGUAGGUGGAGAAGAAGCACCGGCCAACUACGUGCCAGCAGCCGCGGUAAUACGUAGGGUGCGAGCGUUGUCCGGAAUUACUGGGCGUAAAGAGCUCGUAGGUGGUUUGUCGCGUUGUUCGUGAAAUCUCACGGCUUAACUGUGAGCGUGCGGGCGAUACGGGCAGACUUGAGUACUGCAGGGGAGACUGGAAUUCCUGGUGUAGCGGUGGAAUGCGCAGAUAUCAGGAGGAACACCGGUGGCGAAGGCGGGUCUCUGGGCAGUAACUGACGCUGAGGAGCGAAAGCGUGGGGAGCGAACAGGAUUAGAUACCCUGGUAGUCCAA
rnacentral:rRNA from 1 species